rnacentral:lncRNA from 1 species
AAAUAGAACCGGACGAUCUACUGGUCAAGACAAAUCAGUCUAUUGAAGACAUUUAAAUGGAAGCAGUCAGCUAUCCCUGUAAGACGAUCGACCAACGUGAAUGAAAGGAACCGGACGGUAAGAUGCGGACGGUCUGCAUGAUUAAGGUAAGGCCAAGAUAAUUAGGAUAAUUACAUGCUUAAAGUGAUUGGGCUGUGAUUGAGCCUUGAUUAAGAUUGCCUUAAUACUAGGCCCAUAUCCAGCACUAUAAAUACAUGUCAGAGGUACCAGGUAAGUAAGUUCAUUUAUUACGCAUUUACUUCUGAGUUCAGACAUCCGGUCGGAUAACCUAACUAACUUAAGCAUCGGAGUACCUUUGGUAGAUAUCCUCCGGACGCAUCGAACAUAGGAGAAGGGAGAAGGUGAACUGUUGGAGGAUAGAUUUCGGGAUUAGCGGACGGCCUAAGGAGAAGAAAUUGUAUAGGUUUGGUGACUCGGCUUCACACCGGAACAAUUACAAAUCCAUUUUAAACUCAACCUUAAGCCUAAUCAAAACUCAAAUAAUUGCAAAAGGAAAAUUAAGAAUGAUUUAAUUGUGUCUCUUAGGUCUUGUUCACUUGAGUGGAUUUGAGGGAG